rnacentral:rRNA from 1 species
UAAUACAGAGGGUGCAAGCGUUAAUCGGAAUUAUUGGGCGUAAAGGGCUUGUAGGUUGUUAUUUAAGUUAGAUGUGAAAUCCCUGGGCUUAACCUGGGACGUGCAUAUAAGACUGGAUGACUAGAGUAUGGUAGAGGAGAGGGGAAUUCCUGGUGUAGCAGUGAAAUGCGUAGAGAUCAGGAGGAACAUCAGUGGCGAAGGCGCCUCUCUGGACUAAUACUGACACUGAGGAGCGAAGGCGUGGGGAUCAAACAGGAUUAGAUACCCUGGUAGUCCACGCGGUAAACGAUGAAUACUAGCCGAUGGGGGGUUGAACCCUUAGUGGCGCAGCUAACGCGAUAAGUAUUCCGCCUGGGAAGUACGGCCGCAAGGUUA